ensembl:lncRNA
AAAGUGUUGCGUGUGUGGUCUCCAUUAGCUGCUCCGCUCCGACAGCCAACCAGGAGCUCUGGGGUCGUAAAAGCCCACAGUAACGAGUGUGCAUUGGCGUCAUCAGAGCGUUGUGUGUGUGUGUGGAGUUGAAGUGAAUAUGACCACACAAAGCCUGCUUCUGCUGGACCCUUGGCUGAACAAAGAGGUCUGAUGAGGAGGGUUAGGAUCUGAGGCUAAGCUGUAAUUGAAUGCCAACAGGAGUGGUGUUUUUCCUCAGACCUCUGAAGGAGGACCUGACCUUGCGCCGCUGACAGACAGGCAACGCAAAGACCCAGCUGGAUAAUUAGAUUAAAAAACACGGAUCCCAAGGGAUGGAGAUGUGACAAGCACG